rnacentral:snoRNA from 1 species
CUAAAUGAUGCGGUAAUUUGCGGUUGAACCGUUUACUGUGAGACUCUCGCCGGAGUUUCAAAUACAGUUUUCGGCUGUGAUAUUCAUUUUUCUUACAUAUUCUGAAC